rnacentral:lncRNA from 1 species
AUGUACGUUGGGUUGAAAGGGUUUAUCAUAUCAGUGUUUGAGUAUCCUGUUGUGUCUGUGGCCAUGCAUGUUGUAUCCGAGGUCAUGCCCGAAUCCGAGGCCAUGCAUGUUGUAUCCGAUGUCGUGCAUGUGUCUGUGCAGCCGGUGUCCCCACUGUCACCCAUCUCCGUAACUUCCAAGUUCCUGGACUCACCGAUCAGCAAGAGCUGCGGUGAUUAGAAAAAAGACCAAGAGCCCACGCUGAAACAAACAAAUCGCGGUCAGUGAACUCGAGCCGUAUGUUUUUUGAAAUACAGGAAGGAGGGGAAAACUCGUGAAUGGAUCGCGACAAUCCGGAACGGGCCCGUUAAAUCAGAAUAAAUUACGCACACAGAGAAAAAUUUUAACGUAAAAGUUUAAUUUAUACGAGAAGUAAAACACAAAAUAACCCUAGCCUUUGGUUAAAAUUUCAAGAGAAAAUGUCGGCUAGUUUUCAUGAAGAAAUUCAAUAAAAAACGAGUGGUGAAUACCAGCGUUGCAAUCGGAGGAAUGCAUUUUCCCAGUCUCUCCAUUGCUUUCUGCGCUAAAUUCACCGCAAACUGUGCCACAAUCAACACAAAAUGUGUGUCGGUUUGUGUUACUUCCUACAUUAACCAAAAGUAACAAAAGAACACAAAUAUUUUUAUCAGUGUAGCACAAGCCUAUUAUGCACAGUUUUUUUUUUGUUUAAAUUCUCUUGCAGAUAAAACCAAGUCGAAUUUCGAAGAAUGAAAUCACUUCGCACCACACAGACAUUUUUCGACUCGGCAAGGGUACAAAGUGAUUUAAAUUUUGAAUCUUUUUUUUUUUUUUUAAUCCUCGGAGUUUGUUUGUCCGUGUUUUCACCCGAGUCUUCUAAUAGAAACACUGGAUUUCAGGUGCAGUAAUCUCCGAAUCUCUCCCCGAGGUUUUAUGGAGGGCUCUGAGACCCCUAAUACAGAUACAUUUUGGUCAAUUUGCCGCUCAUCAUUAAAACCCCAACAUCGUCUGAACAAAAUAACCAAGACAAAUCUGGCACGAGUGAUAUGAGACCACUAGAUCGGGUAACCAUCACGCCAGCCCGCACUUCACUGCGAAAGCAGCUUACGCCAUGCCAAGGCAAGUUUUAAGGUACUCUUUUGAGACCCUCAGACACGGGAGUAUGAUUUUGGAAACACAGUCUAACCGUAGAGAUUGACUCUUCAAUAAAGACACGUUUCAUCAUUUAGGGGCUGCGUGGACUUGCCAUUUAAAAUUCUUACAUGCAACGGAGAGUUUCAGAAGAGGUGGGAUUUUUAUAAUGAGCUCAUUAAAGUUGAUUCCUCUCUGCUCAACUUGCCUUUGCAAGAGAAAAUAAGCGGAUCCGGGGGAGGGGGUGUAGGGGUUGCACGCCCCCGGCCCCCUCGUUCGUCCGGAAAAAGGAGGAAGAAAAUGGAGGAAAAAAAGGAGGAAGGAACGGAGUAAGGAAGAAGGAAGGACGUUUAAAUUUGGACGUAUUUCUAUAAACGGAACCAUGUGCAUUCAGACAUGAGCCCUGAGACCCAUAAGAAUAUGUGC